GUCCAGACUCCUACGGGAGGCAGCAGUGGGGAAUAUUGCACAAUGGGGGGAACCUUGAUGCAGCAACGCCGCGUGGGUGAAGAAGUACUCCGGUAUGUAAAGCCCUGUCAGCAGGGAAGAAAAUGACGGUACCUGACCAAGAAGCCCCGGCUAACUACGUGCCAGCAGCCGCGGUAAUACGUAGGGGGCAAGCGUUAUCCGGAUUUACUGGGUGUAAAGGGGGCGCAGACGGCAAUGCAAGCCAGGAGUGAAAGCCCGGGGCCCAACCCCGGGACUGCUCUUGGAACUGCAUGGCUGGAGUACAGGAGGGGCAGGCGGAAUUCCUAGUGUAGCGGUGAAAUGCGUAGAUAUUAGGAGGAACACCGGUGGCGAAGGCGGCCUGCUGGACUGUGACUGACGUUGAGGCCCGAAGGCGUGGGGAGCAAACAGGAUUAGAUACCCUUGUA
rnacentral:rRNA from 1 species